GGUUGUGUAGUGUAGUGGUUAUCACUCGAGAUUUUGAAUCUACCCAAUCAUUCUUCUCGUAACCCCGGUUCGAACCCGGGCACGACCU